ACAUUUAAGGUUGCAUUUAUUUCUUUUUAAAAAAUGUUGAAAAAUAAACCCAUGUCUGUGUAAGUCCCCAACCCUUCUUUCUCCAAGCUUUUGGGGGUGGACAGAGUGGGCCUCCUCACAGCUUCCCAACAUUCUUCCCACAAGGCUUCUGCCAUGCCCACCCCAGUCCCCUUCCACUGCACCUGACUUAUUGCUAAAAGGAAGGAAAGGUGGGUGAGGCCAGCUAACACACCAGCUCUCCCUCAGCCCCCAGGCUCAGUCACUACCACACACAAAGGGUAGGCCCAGAGGCCAAGCCCUCCAAAGGCAGGCAGGCAGGCAGGCAAGGAGGCAGCCAUUCCAGUCACAGCCAGGAAGCCAGAGUCCCUGCAGGCCCUGAGAUCUAGCCCCUGGCUGGGGGUUUACAAGCUCAACUGCCAGGAACACAUGCAGAACCCACAGG
rnacentral:lncRNA from 1 species